rnacentral:rRNA from 1 species
GACGAACGCUGGCGGCGUGCUUAACACAUGCAAGUCGAACGGAAAGGCCUGCUUUCCCUUGUGGAUUGCGGGUACUCGAGUGGCGAACGGGUGAGUAACACGUGAGUGAUCUGCCCCCAACUUGGGUAUAAGCCUGGGAAACUGGGUCUAAUUCCCGAUAGGACUGCAGGGUGGUGCCUGUGGUGGAAAACGAUUUUCUAGUGGUUGGGGAUGAGCUCGCGGCCUAUCAGCUUGUUGGUGGGGUAAUGGCCUACCAAGGCGGCGACGGGUAGCCGGCCUGAGAGGGUGGACGGCCACAUUGGGACUGAGAUACGGCCCAGACGCCGACGGGAGGCAGCAGUGGGGAAGAUUGCACAAUGGGCGGAAGCCUGAUGCAGCGACGCCGCGUGGGGGAUGACGGCCUUCGGGUGGUAAACUCCUUUCGACCGCGAGGAAGCCACCUGGUUGGAAGGGUGGUGACGGUAGUGGUAGAAGAAGCACCGGCUAACUACGUG